CUGAACCAUCUUAGUAACAAAAGGAAAAAAAAUCAAACGAGAUUUUGUAAGUAGUGGCGAACGAAAACAAAAUAUUAGGCUUAAUAUAAAAAUCUAUUUAAUAUGAAACUGCCAUAGAAGGUAUAAGCCCUGUAAUAUUAGAGAUUUUAUUUUUAAAGUAAUACGAUUAAAAUUUCGUAUGAAUUAAGGGAACACCACUUUCCAAGCCUAAAUACUUUUUAUAACCGAUAGUGCACAAGUACCGUGAGGGAAAACUGAAAAGAAAGGUUAAAAACCUUAAUUUUAAACUUGAAAUUGGAUGUUUACAAUCAGUUGUAGUAUAUAAAAUUAUUUAUAUUGCAGCGUACCUUUUGUAUAAUGGACCAACAAGUAAAAAAUUAUAGCGAGCUUAAUUGUGUAAAAAGUAGGCUGAAGUAAAUUAAUUUAUCUUAGUUAUAAUUUUUUGACCCGAAGCUAAGUGAUCUAAUCGAGAGCAGAUUGAAAUUGUACGAAUUAUGUACGAUGGAGGAUCGAACCCGUAUAUGUAGCAAAAUGUUGGGAAGACUUUUGAUUAGGAGUGAAAGGCUAAUCAAACUUAGCGAUAGCUGGUUUUCUACGAAAUCUAUUUUAGUAGAGUGUCUUAUAGGUUUAUUUCAGGUAAAGCUCUUAACAGAAAAAGGUGAUUUUCAAUCUUACUAAUUCUGUUUAAACUCCGAAUUGUAAUAAAUUAUUUUAAGAUAAACAGACAUUGGGCGAUAAGGUUCAAUGUCGAAAGGGCAACAACCCAGAUCUCUUGUUAAGGUUCUUAAAAAAUAUAUAAGUUAAUAAGGAUGUUAUUAUAGUACAAUAUAAUUAGGUGGGCUUAGAAGCAGCCAUCCAUUGUAAAACGUGUUACAACGUGUUAUUUUAUAUAAUAGCUCCAAAAAUAAUAGGAAAUUAAUAUAUUUACCGAAACAGAGGAUAUAUAUAUAUAUAUAUAUCUGGUAGUAGAACGUUCUAUAUAAAUUAUUUGUUUAAGUUUGAAAAAACUUAAACAAUUUUAUUAGAAGUGAAAAUGUUGGUAUGAGUAGCGAAAAUUAUGAUUUAUAAAAUCAUAAUCACCGAAAGUCCAAGGGGUUCUAUGCAAUUUUAACCACAUAGAAUUAAUCGGUUUCUAAAAAGUUACAUGAAAAUGUAAUUUGAUGAAAUUAAUGUUGAAAAUCAUUAAUCAUUUAUGGUUGAUGUUUCACAACACGACAGAAUUUUAUUGUUGUUUAUAAAUAAAGAUUUUUUUAUAAGCAACAGUAGAAUUCUCAAGAAAUAAUCAUAAUUUAGUGACCGUACUAAGACCGACACAGGUGGACUGGUUUUACAAAACUAAGGUGAUUGAGUUAACCAUAUUGAAGGAAUUCGGCAAAUUAGCUCCGUAAGUUUGCAAGAAGGAGUAUCACAUAUUUUGUGGUGACACUAAAGAGGGAGUAGCGACUGUUUACUAAAAACACAGGACUUUGCAAAUUUGUGAAAAAAUGUAUAAAGUCUGACGUUUGCCAAGUAUUCGUAGGUUAAUUUAUAAGGUGUUAGCUUUAUAAGUAAACCCGAGUAAACGGCGGUCCUAACUAUAAGGAUCCUAAGGUAGCGUAACCCACUGACGUAUAAUUUACGUCCUGCAUGAAUAACGUAACGACUGCUCCACUGUCUCCAGUAUGGUCUCAGCGAAAUUGAAUUCUCCGUGAAGAUGCGGAGUACCUGCAGUUAGACGGAAAGACCCCGUGAUUCUUUACUAUAGUUUUGCAUUGUUAUUUUUAAAAAUAUGUAUAGUGUAAGUGGGAAUUAUAUAUUAUAGAUUAAUCUAUAAUAUAUAAUGAAAAGUGGAAUACCACUCUUAUUUUUUUGGAUAGCUUACUUUUUAUCUAUGAAAGGACAUUGCAAAAUGGUUAGUUUAUUUGGGGCGAAUACCUCCUAAAAAGUAACGGAGGUGCACAAAGGCAAAUAAGAACUCAUUUUUAAAUGAGUUUAUAAAUGUAAUGGUACAAAUUUGCUUGAUUGAAGAACUUAUAAGUUCUUUAAAGAUAAAAAGUCAGUCAUAGUGAUCCGAUAAAACUUUGUGGAAAGAUUAUCGCUUAACAGAUAAAAGAAACUCCGGGGAUAACAGCGUUAUCGUUCCUAAGAGUCCUUAUCGACGGAACGGUUUGCGACCUCGAUGUCGGCUCAUCAUAUCCUGGAGCUGUAGUAGGUUCCAAGGGUCCGGGUGUUCACCGGUUAAAAUGGUACGUGAGCUGGGUUUAAAACGUCGUGAGACAGUUUGGUCCCUAUCUGCUGUAGGCAUUGAAAAUUGAGGGAUUAUAUUUCUAGUACGAGAGGAUCGAAGUAUAUUAAUCACUGAUGAACCAGUUGUUUUUAAUCGAUGCAUAGCUGGGUAGUUACAUUAAUUUAAUAUAAAUACUGAAAGCAUAUAAGUAUGAAGAUUUUCCCAAGAUAAAUUUUCGAGAAUAUUCUGAAAGACCAUCAGAUAGAUCGGUUCAAAGUUAUUAUCUUGUAAUAGAUGUGCUUAUGAAUACGAAAAUAUCAUGUGUUCAUGUUUGAAAACGGAAAUUCCGUUUUCAAACAUGAUUUUUUUA
rnacentral:rRNA from 1 species